rnacentral:misc_RNA from 1 species
UUUCCGUAGGUGAACCUGCGGAAGGAUCAUUCAUAAUAAAGUGUUUUAUGGCACUUUUUAAAAAUCCAUAUCCACCUUGUGUGCAAUGUUAGAUCUCGUCAAUCUUGGCGAGAUUUUUAUACAUCAACUCAUUUUUCAACUAAUUUGUCUGAAAAAUAUUAUGAAUACUUAAUUCAAAAUACAACUUUCAACAACGGAUCUCUUGGCUCUCGCAUCGAUGAAGAACGCAAC